GUUGCGUUUCACGCUCUGGGAGCCCGGGUGUCAAAGCCCGACUCUCUUCACGGUCGGACAACAUCGCCGGAGUGGUGGCCGGUGGGUCGCGUUGUAUCGGUUCGCGUGGCGUUUCGUUUUCUUCCUCUUCGGGGUUCGCUCCGUCGAGGGGGGGGUGAUCGCUCGCGUUCAGUUGACGCGGUUCGCUCCACCCAGUCAAUCGUUCGGGGUGCCCUUCACACGGGGUGUCUCGGGCGGCCGGCAACGUUUACUUUGAACAAAUUAGAGUGCUCAAAGCAGGUGUAUCCCAACGCCUGAAUAUCGCAGCAUGGAAUGAUGGAAUAGGACCUCGGUCCGAUUUUGCUGGUCUUUUCUUUUGGACCCGAGGUAAUGGUCAAUAGAGACGGACGGGGGCAUUCGUACUGCGGCGACAGAGGUGAAAUUCUUGGACCGCCGCAAGACGAACAACAGCGAAGGCAUUUGCCAAGAAUGUUUUCCUUGAUCAAGAACGAAAGUUAGAGGUUCGAAGGCGAUCAGAUACCGCCCUAGUUCUAACCAUAAACGAUGCCAACCAGCAAUCCGUCGGAGUUACUCCAAUGACGCGACGGGCAGCUUCCGGGAAACCAAAGUCUUUGGGUUCCGGGGGAAGUAUGGUUGCAAAGCUGAAACUUAAAGGAAUUGACGGAAGGGCACCACCAGGAGUGGAGCCUGCGGCUUAAUUUGACUCAACACGGGAAACCUCACCAGGCCCGGACACUGGAAGGAUUGACAGAUUGAGAGCUCUUUCUUGAUUCGGUGGGUGGGGGUGCAUGGCCGUUCUUAGUUGGUGGAGCGAUUUGUCUGGUUAAUUCCGAUAACGAACGAGACUCUAGCCUGCUAAAUAGGUGACGGGUUUUAUCAAUUGAAACCGAAGGGAGUACGGAGGCGUCGGGAUCAGGUGGCGGCGGUUCGGGUGGAAGGGGCCGGGUUUCUUUAGCGGGCUCUUUUCGCGGCGUGGAUUCGGUUGGAAGCAAAAAGGAUGGGGGAGUUGGUGUUCGGGGUUUCGGCUCCGGGCGUUGGCUUUUCUUUUCUUGCGUUUCCUGCCGGGCUGCGUCGCGAGGGGGUUUUGCGGGAGCUCGGUCCUUUGUUUCUCGGUCGUCGUCAUCCCCGGCGAUACCUUCUGCUCUCGCGUCCGUCACGCAGUCUUCUUAGAGGGACAAGCGGCGUCCAGCCGCGUGACAGUGAGCAAUAACAGGUCUGUGAUGGCCUUAGAUGUCCUGGGCCGCACGCGCGCUACACUGAAGGAAUCAGCGUGUUUCACUCUCCCUGUCCGAAAGGACCGGGUAACCGCUGAACCUCCUUCGUGGUUGGGAUUGGGGACUGCAAUGAUCCCCAUGAACCAGGAAUCCCUAGUAGGCGCGGGUCACUAGCCCGCGUGAUUACGUCCCUGCCCUUUGUACACACCGCCCGUCGCUACUACCGAUUGAAUGAUUUAGUGAGGCCUUCGGACGGGCUUGUCGGGGUGCCGUCGCGUGGGGAGCAAUCUCUGCGCGCGCGGUGCCUACCAACGGCGAGACUGAAAGAUGGUCGAACUUGAUCCUUUAGAGGAAGUAAAAGUCGUAACAAGGUUUCCGUAGGUGAACCUGCGGAAG
rnacentral:rRNA from 1 species